GAUGAACGCUGGCGGCGUGCCUAAUACAUGCAAGUCGAGCGAACGGACGAGAAGCUUGCUUCUCUGAUGUUAGCGGCGGACGGGUGAGUAACACGUGGAUAACCUACCUAUAAGACUGGGAUGACUUCGGGAAACCGGAGCUAAUACCGGAUAAUAUUUUGAACCGCAUGGUUCAAAAGUGAAAGACGGUCUUGCUGUCACUUAUAGAUGGAUCCGCGCUGCAUUAGCUAGUUGGUAAGCUAACGGCUUACCAAGGCAACGAUACAUAGCCGACCUGAGAGGGUGAUCGGCCACACUGGAACUGAGACACGGUCCAGACUCCUACGGGAGGCAGCAGUAGGGAAUCUUCCGCAAUGGGCGAAAGCCUGACGGAGCAACGCCGCGUGAGUGAUGAAGGUCUUCGGAUCGUAAAACUCUGUUAUUAGGGAAGAACAUAUGUGUAAGUAACUGUGCACAUCUUGACGGUACCUAAUCAGAAAGCCACGGCUAACUACGUG
rnacentral:rRNA from 1 species